rnacentral:pre_miRNA from 1 species
CCCACACCCAUGUGUGUAAGACCCCAAAGGAUCAUCAUUAAAUUUGACACAGAUCUCUAAAAAAGUUAUCACAUGGACGUGAGACUUUACUUUUCUAGAGAUCUGUGCCAAAUUUAGUGGUGAUUCUUUGGGGUUCUACACACAUGGGUGUGGG